GGCGUCCACACUUAUCGGUUUGUUUGAUGUUACAGCCAAGGGUCUGUAGCUCAGGUGGUUAGAGCACCGUCUUGAUAAGGCGGGGGUCGUAGGUUCAAGUCCUACCAGACCCACCAAGUUAUGGACGGUGGAAGUCUCUGCCGUGACUGGGGGAUUAGCUCAGCUGGGAGAGCACCUGCUUUGCAAGCAGGGGGUCGUCGGUUCGAUCCCGUCAUCCUCCACCAAUACCUUGUGGUUGCCAAACGCAAGCAUCGAGUUUUCGGUGUUUGCGUUUGGCAUUGCCAAGACGAGUAAUAACUCGGCUGUUCUUUAACAAUAUGGAAUGUAGUAAAGGUGUCGCGGAGCAUUGAUGAGAUGCUCACAAAAACGCGACACUGGGUUGUGAUUGUAUCAACCAGUAUUACGAGUGAUCGAAAGACCGCUUGGAAUACGGCACAACGCGAGAACUCAGCCUAUAUCGAGACAUACUCGUUAUAGGGUCAAGCGAAUAAGUGCAUGUGGUGGAUGCCUUGGCGAUCACAGGCGAUGAAGGACGCAGUAGCUUGCGAAAAGCUGCGGGGAGCUGGCAAACGAGC
rnacentral:misc_RNA from 1 species